GAUGAACGCUGGCGGCGUGCUUAACACAUGCAAGUCGAACGGGAUCCCAGGAGCUUGCUCCUGGGUGAGAGUGGCGAACGGGUGAGUAAUGCGUGACUGACCUGCCCCAUACACCGGAAUAGCUCCUGGAAACGGGUGGUAAUGCCGGAUGCUCCAGUUGACCGCAUGGUCCUCUGGGAAAGCUUUUGCGGUAUGGGAUGGGGUCGCGUCCUAUCAGCUUGAUGGCGGGGUAACGGCCCACCAUGGCUUCGACGGGUAGCCGGCCUGAGAGGGCGACCGGCCACAUUGGGACUGAGAUACGGCCCAGACUCCUACGGGAGGCAGCAGUGGGGAAUAUUGCACAAUGGGCGCAAGCCUGAUGCAGCAACGCCGCGUGCGGGAUGACGGCCUUCGGGUUGUAAACCGCUUUUGACUGGGAGCAAGCCCU
rnacentral:rRNA from 1 species